AUAACGUAGCAAUCCAUACCAGCUCAAAAGAGCAGAUAACUCUGCAAUACGAAAAGACGGAAUAGGUCAAGAUGUCCAGGGCCUUCGAUUGUUAUAACACAUUGAUUAAGAUGAUCAUUUGGUUUGUCUCAUGAAGAUAUUGGUAUCUAUCCCAUGUGCAUCUUAGACAUAUAUGGAAUUCAUUUUCACAAAUAAGACAUGUUUGACAGUUUCUUGGAAGAUUUUAAAACUAGAAAUUGGAUUAGUCAAAUCUUAAUUAUUUAAAAAACAUUGAAAAAUUAUAUUUGCUUACACUUGAAGACAAGACUGUCACUGUCUCUUUUGUUAAGGUCACUCUCUCCUGUCAAGGUCACUUCCUUUUUUUGUCAAGGUCACUUCCUUUUUUUGUCAAUGUCACUCUCUCCUGUCAAGGUCACUUCCUUUUUUUGUCAAGGUCACUCUCUCCUGUCAAGGUCACUUCCUUUUUUUGUCAAGGUCACUCUCUCCUGUCAAGGUCACUUUUCCCCCCAUGUCAUGUAAACUAGUUAAUUCUCCGAUGUUUGUUACAUGUUGUUAUAUUUGCAGUUACAAAGUUAAAUUGUUGAACCAUUUAUUGGUGUUAUUAUAUUGGUAUUUUUAAAUAUUGUAGGUAGACGUGUAGAGAAAUCCUAGAAUGUUUAAAUAUAUAUAGAAAUGUAGUUUAUAAUUUUAUAACACACUGGUCGUGAAUAUGUACUUUAUUACAUCCCCUGUCUUACAUUAACAUUUCUGUUCGUCCUUUUGAAAGUUUUUAUUUGAUUAUUCAAAAGAAACAUAUUUCCCAACUGCACAGCACAAUAUUUUGUGCAAGAUAUAUAUAAGCUGUAUUCACAAUGCGAUAAAAACUCGAAAAUUAUAAGCCCUGUAAAUUUGUUGCCCUCACAAUAAAGGAAGUUAAAAUAUUUUUUCUGCAACAUUCAUACAAAAUAUAGAAAAUGGCUGUAAGACAUAAAUGCCGCCGCUAUGGAUGGGAUGGGACGGACAUGGGCAACACUAUAUGAAUAAUGUCCUUCUGAAAAACAAAUCAGGAACAAUAUGGUUAUUUACACCAUUAGAACAUUUGACCAUGUAAAAUUUAAUCAUUUCACAGUUUUCUUUGGAGUUCCUUACUCAUUAGUAAAGCGAUGCAAUACAUUUGAUUCUGGGUAUGAUGAACAGUUACCUCCCCUGUUGCACUCUUACUAAUUCUGAUUAAAGUUCAAAAAACGAGUGAAAGGUUUUAUGUUUGCUCUAUACCAGUGUGUUUAAUAUUGGAGGUGAACUAGGUAAGGUUAUGGUUAUUGUACUGUAGAUAAUCACACCAGUGCCUUUGUGAAAGUUUCACUUCAUAAUAAUAAAAUGUGAUGGUCUGUAUGGCUUAUAAAAUAUUGGCUCUUAUGUUUAAGUAUAUUUUUUUUAUCUUUAAAGUUACAAAUAAUGUAUCUAAUAAUUUGAAAACAAAACGAUUCAGAAUCAAGCGAAUUCUUACCUGAAAUUGUAUUUUUUCUGUAUUGCAUAUUAACUGUGGUUGAAAUAUCUGGGAAAUUAAUUCAUGGAAUAUUGACAUAAUUUACAAUUCUUUAUAAAGUGAUGAGAGAAAUAUUUUCAUUUGAUGUUAAUUUUGAAAAGUAUUCUUUUUCUUAUGUAUUUCAGUCAUUAGCAUUUGUCAUUUUAACGAACAAAGAGAAUAAAAACAACGAAGUAUCUUGAGGAAGCGCUUUAACCUCAUUACUGUAAUAUGAUAAUAUUCCUUCAAAAUAAAUAAAAAUAUGAUCAAUAAUGAAAUGGAGAUUAUUAACUAGUUCACGAUAAUAUCAACUGGGUGUAUUUCAUUUUAAAUUUAGGUCACCACGCACCUGAUCUGUGUCUGUGUGUUUUCUAAAUAUUUUGAUUUCAACAAAUUUUAUAGUUAAACAAAUUGUCUUAAAACCUGAUCACUUUUUUUGUCUCCUGGGUCAGUGUCCACAAAAGUCGACAUCCAUCUGUCCUUAGAAUGAAGAUCUUUAUUACAAGUGUUUUGCAACAAGUUUUUUAGUAUUCAAACAGGUACAAGUGUAUAAAUGCAGUGUUUUGCUAACUGCAAAUAUUUCCAAUAAAAGAAACAUAUUUUGAAAUUGAUUGUGCACCCAUUUAUGCAUGUCAUCAAAGUGUUGGUAACAUUUAGGACAGAUUCCCCAAGUUGUUGUCUGUACAUCGGAGGGCAUGCCCAGCCUAGAUAGAUCUGCCCUCUGUGCAUCUAUAUAAAAUGUGUGGCUCAUGUUUUAUGGUUGUUUUGUCCACAUUGCCUUGUAUGUGAUUUCUUGGUUGGAUGGAAUUCCUUUUUUUUUUUUAUUACAUUUCUCAUCUAAAUUUUCAUGAGUAUUUCUUGGAAGAAAUAUUUCUACCUCAGCUAACUUUACUAUACAAUAUACUUUGUUGAUGUUAACUCCCCAAGUUAGAGAUGUAGAAGAUUUUAACAAUUUCCUGUAUAUAUCGGUAUAUGUAAACUUAGAAUGAGUGACAUGGAGCAAAUAAUUAACAGAGAGAGAGAGAAAAAAAUGUCUGUUGUUAGUGAGAUGUACGAGGAUCGGAAAUAGAAUUUAUGCAGAUAUGUUUUUAGUAAUAUCAUAGUAUAAUCACUUUAUUUUGACUUUGGUGUUUAAAUUUUUGCCAGUGUAGGUAUUGAAGAUCAUGUGGAUCUUUCUACAAUACAUUAUUGACUUACAUUGGAUAAUUAUGUAUCAGUAAAAUUUCAUUUCAAAGUCAAAAUAAAUCAAAUUAUUCUUUUAAUUUGAAAGAUCUGUUGAUCCUAUCUAAGUAGCAGAGGGACUUUUGUAUAAUUUACUUAAAAUAAGAUUGAAGAACAAUUAUCAAGGUUGAUUAUCUUGGAUGAAGAAUAAUCAGUGCAGCCAUUUGUAAACUAACUGAUCAGGGUAAAUCCAAACAGACCUGAGAACUGUUGUCAGGUCUUUCCCGGUAACUGACUAGAGAAGAUCCAACCGUUUCACUCGGCCCCACUAUAGUACACGUAUAUUGUAAUUUGUGGCCGUCGUGAAUUUUUUUUUCUUUUUUUUUUCGAUUUUUAUUUUUAGCAAUAUAUUAGUUGUGUAAAUAUCAAAGGGGAUUUUUAUCAUGUAUUUACCGUUCAUUUGAAACAGAAUGGGACAUUUCUGUUGAAGUUGAUAACCUAUCGUCAGCAAUACCAUUGAUCCGUAGUGCUGAUCAAGAGAGCACAGGAACAAAGAGGUCCAUAUUUCAUGUCAUAUAUAUAACACUUCGAUAUAGGAAUGUUUCUCAUUACACAAUUCACACUAAGUCAUUCAGGAAUCCCAAAUCAUUCAUAUUUCAGUUCAUUACAUCGUGAAUACCGUGCAAUACGUUUAUUCAGCAGUGAGCGUGAAGCAAAUUCAUUUUCUGUUAUACAGAGUUAUCUUUCUUGGUAAAUAAAUAACAAGAAUGGAUUUUUUUUACGGAAUACAUGUACAUGUAUAUGAUCAAGUUUGUUUAGCAAAUAAGGAAGUUUAAAAAUAUUGAGUCCUAUAUCUACACUGAAAUACAUGCAAUAUUCACAUCAGAAAUAUUAAUGCAUAUUACAUAGUAGAAAUUGUUUUUGUCUGAAUUUGUAUGUAUACAGUUUAUUGUAGAAAACUAAUAUAAUGUUGCAAUUAGUCAUAAAUUGUUUAUGCAAAGGAAUUUAUAAUGUUUCAUAAGAGGUAUAUAUAAUUUCUGUGAUUCAACAUUAAACUUGUUGGAAAGAG
rnacentral:lncRNA from 1 species